rnacentral:rRNA from 1 species
CCUACGGGUGGCAGCAGCGGGGGAUAUUACACAAUGGGUGAAACCCUGAUGCAGCGAUGCCGCGUGAAUUAAGACGGCCUUCGGGUUGUAAAGUUCUGUCGCCGGGGACGAAAAUGACGGUACCCUCCAAGCAAGCUCCGUCUAACUACGUGCCUGCAGCCGCGGUAAUACGUAGGGAGCAAGCGUCGUCCGGACUUACUGGGUGUAAGGGGAGCGUAGGCGGGAGGAUAAGUUGAAUGUGAAAUCUAUGGUCUCAAACCAUAGCUGCAUUCAAAACUGUUCUUCUUGAGUGAAGUAGAGGCAGGCGGAAUUCCUAGUGUAGCGGUGAAAUGCGUAGAUAUUAGGAGGAACACCAGUGGCGAAGGCGGCCUGCUGGGCUUUUACUGACGCUGAGGCUCGAAAGCGUGGGUAGCAAACAGGAUUAGAUACCCGUGUAGUC